UGGCAGCACGCCAGGCCUCUGACGUCCCAGGGCUCAAGCGCGGAGGACAUGUGGAACUCCACUCCAAAAGCGGCGGCUUGCGGCGGAGCUCUCUCUAGUGAGGCGGCCAGCUGGCGUUCGUGGCACACUUGCUGUCGGCUCCGCUCAUCUGUUGGGAAUGCGUCCUGUGGGCCUAGUCCUCCGCUGGAAGAAACGCGCUGUUCUCCCCAACCACCGUUUAUCAUUCUUAUUCACCGUCUCCGGAAUGUCCAUUCAGUUUCCGCUCCUGAGAGACUUAGUGACUGAGGCCAGGCAAAGAUUUCACCUUGGGGAGGGGGAACGUUAAACCUUUCCUCCAGCAGCUUUCGUGUUUUAAAUUGUAUUCAUCCGCCAUGGAAAGACAUCAGAAGCCCAGGAUCUAAGAGACAGACUGAAAUGAAGAAAGUAGAUAAUAUUGUGAGAAUAAUGAACAAGCUGGUCACUGAACAGCAGAACCGUAAUGGAGUCCCAGUUAAAGGGUUUUAACUUUAUUUCGUCACUUUUUGCAAGCAUGAUACAAAGAAAACAAACACCUAACUACGCUACGGUUUAUAGUUAAAAGGAAGGUGGAAGAUCCUGAGUCAUUACAGCAAUCACAAAACAUGAUGGAUUUCUUCAUUUAAAAACACAAAAGAGGUCUUGGCAUAGUUUUCAAGGGCAAAGCAUGACAAGACUCUCCAGUGCUUUCUUUCAUCCCCCUCUGUGUGCCUUUUUCUGCCUGACUCACAGCCUGGCUCAAUCCUAAUCUUUCUACUGCAAAGAUGCAGCAUUUAAAGCAAUUUUUCCUGUGCAGUAUUUGUAGAAUGACAGAUCCUGCCAGAAGCUCUUGGAAACAUUUUGGAACUAUCUUGCUUUUCUGUAUGUUAUGAUCCAUCUAGCACCGUUUUCCUCCUGUGGUAGCAAAUGACACUUUUUUCAAGCAUCAGCAGCAGAAAUGAGUCUACCAGAUGGAAUAAGAUACUGGUAAAGGGAAAGAUUUGUUUCUAAGACUGCACAAAUGAAUGCACCCAAAUCUGUGAGUUGAUUAAUCUGUGAAGAAAUACAACUGGCAGUAUUUACAUAUCUCAAUGAGUCUCAAAGUGUGGUCGAGGAAGCCCUGGGGGUCCUUGGGACCCUUUCAGAGGUUCCACGAGCUCAAAUCUAUUUUCAUAACCAUGCUAAGUCUUUAUUUCCUUUUCCACUCCAGAGGCUAUAUAAUGUCUGAUGACAUCAUCGCUUUAUAGGAUGAGAGAAUACGUGCUUGUAUAUUCUUGUGUUUGUAAGACUUUCCAGGUUUAAUUUAUUACCAUAUGGCAAUUUUCAAUAAGUAUAACCCACAAAACCCAACAGAUUUUUGGGGCACCUCUAACAAGGGUCCUAAGACCAAAAUGUUUGAGGACUGCUAAUCGAUAUUAUUCAAUUGUCUAGUCCCCUAAACUCCAACCCUUCUUAUCAGGACUACAGAGAGAAAACAGGUGGUCUUCUUGACAAUCGCUUUGUAUUUACAUUCAGUGCUUUAGUAGAAGAGAAGAAAGAAAGAGAAAGCAAGCCAGAGAGGCCUCGGAAAGAGAAGCCUACUUAUUAAAAAUAGCUUUCUGGCUGGUCACGGUGGCUCACUCCUGUAAUCCCAGCACUUUGGGAGGCCGAGACGGGCGGAUCACUUGAGGUCAGGAGUCUCAGACCAGCCAGGCCAACAUGGCGAAAACACGUCUCUACUAAAAAUGCAAAAAUUAGCCGGGCAUAGUGGCAUGCACGCCUGUAGUCCCAGCUACUUGGGAGGCAGAGGCAGGAGAGCCACUUGAACCCAGGAGGCGGAGGUUGCAGUGAGCGGAGAGCGAGACUCGCGAGUACUCGUCUCAAAAAACAAAACAACAAUAACAAAAACAGCUUUCCAUCCCUUCCCUGAGGCUUGGGUACCUGAACCACGUUAAUCUGUAAAUCACUGCUUCUGUAACUUUUCCUUGGUAUAAAUCACAUAGGCAAUGAGGUUGGGUAUAAACAGUAAUUGUCCUUGAAUUGGGUAGAUGUUUUCUUAUUAUUUUUGUCUAAGAGGUCAUUGCGAUAGGCAGAAUUCUAAGAAUGAUCCCCAGUGACGCUUGCCCUUGUAUAACCCCCACCCAUUUGAGUGUGAGGUGAAACCUAUGAAUUUGAUGAGGCAAUACUCCUGUUAUUAUGUUACGUUUUAUGACAGAUGUGAGAUUUUCCAGGUGGGCCCAAUCUAAUCACAACAGCCCUUUAAAAGCAGAGAUUUUCCGUCUGCUAAGAGCAGAAGAGGAAGUCAGAGAGAUUUGAAGGAUGAGAAGAAUUUGACGUGCUGCUGUUGGAGGGGGCUACAUACCAAGAAAUGUGGGCAUCCUAUAGCAACUGAAACUGGCUCCUGGCUGACAGCCAGCAGAGAAUCAGGAUAUCAGUCCCAGAAUCAUAAGGAACUGAAUUCUGCUAAAAACCUAAAUGAGCUUGGAAGUGGGAUUCUUCCGAGAAGAGCCCAGCCGGGUCACCAUCUUAAUUUUGGUCUGCGAAACCGUAAGCAGAGAAUCCACUCAAGCCCACCUGGAUCUACAGAACUGUGAGCUAAGCUGAUGUGGUAAUAUUUUAAAGCCGCUAAAUUUUUGUUCAUUUGUUGUGCAGCAAUAGGAAUCUAACACAAAGGUAAAUAGAAUAUAUUUUUUAAAUCGAGGCAAUAUUCACAUAACAUAAAAUUAACCAUUAAUUAAGUGUACAACCCAGUGGCAUUACUACAUUCAUAAUAUUGUGAAACCAUCACUUCUGUCUAAUUCCAAGACAUUUUCACCACCCUACAGGAAACUGAUACCCAUUAAGCAGUCACUCCCUGUUCCCUCCUCCCCUUAGUCCCUGGCAAACACUAAUAUGCUUUCUGCCUAUGGAUUUGUCUAUUCUGGAGGUUACAUACAAUUUGUGACCUUUUGUGUCUAGCUUCUUUCACUUAGUUUAAUGUUUUAAAGAUUCAUCCACAUUGUAGCAUGUAUCAGUACUUCGUUCCUUUUUAUGGCUAAGUAAUAUGUGUAUAUACAACAUUUUGUUUAUCCAUCAAUUGAUAACAUUUGGAUUAUUUUUACUUUUGUCUAUUGUGAAUAGUGCUGCUAUGAACAUUUGUAUGCAAGUGUGUAUUUGAAUAUUUAUUUUUAUUUCUUUGGGGUAUAUACCUAGGAGUAGAAUUGUUGUGUCAUUUGGUAAUUCUGUGUUUAUCUAAGAAACUGCCAAACUGUUUUCCACAGGCUGCAUGAUUUCACAUUCUCAUAAGUAAUGUACAAAGGUUCCAAUUUGUCCACAUCCUUGCCAACACUUAUUUUCCUUUUUAUAGUAGCCAUCCUGGUGGGUGUGAAGUGGUAUCUCAUUGUGGUUUUGAUGUACUUCUCUAAUGACUGAUGUUGAGCAUCUUCUCAUGUAUUUGUUGGCCAAUCAUAUAACUUCUUUGGAGAAAUGCCUAUUCAAGUCCUUUGCCCCUCUUUGAUUCAGUUGUUUGUCUUUUUGUUGUUGAGUUAGAAGAGUUCUUUAUAAAUUCUAGGUACUAGACCUUUGUCAGAUAUGAUUUGCAAAUAUAUUUUCUUCCAUUCAGUAGGGGUAAAUAGAAUAUUGAGAGACUUUUUAUAUAGUAAUAUAAAAAAGCAUGAAGGGAUGUGUUUUGCAAAAAGUAAGAUUACACAGUAUUAUACAACUAUGUUAUACACUUUGGCUCUUGGUUUUCUCUCUAAGGAAUAACUCAUGAAGAACAUUCCAUGUGUUAAGGUAUACCUCUAAUUCUUUCUAAUGCCUACAUAAUAUCCUAUUGCAUGGGUGUGCUAUUCACCCCCUACUUAUGGUUAUUCAUUCUGUUUCUAGUUUUUGGCCACUGCCAAC
rnacentral:lncRNA from 10 species